AUGAAGGUUUUGUAGGCUCUUUGCAACCUGAAGCUGGGGAGACUUAGCUGACAGCUAAUGUUUGUGGAAAUGCUCCAUGGAUCAGAUCCAGAAACAUGGUGGAGGGAGUGCUAUCAUUUUCUUCUGGACCUCAUCUAAAACCAGAGAUCUGUCUUCAUGAUGCAGCCUUCUGCAACCUUGUCACACAGACCACGAAGGGAGGAAUGGGGGAAGGCAAUACAGACAGAAGUCAAGUCACCAGCUGGGACUGCAGAACCUUCCCUGCCACUGUGCAGCUAUCCAGCACAAACUUACAGCCCCUAUCCAGAUAUCUGUGAAGACAUCUGAAAAUACAGUGCUUGAACAUCUAUGCUGCAGUAAAAUCCAGCUCUUCCUGAGCAUCUGUGCCUGGAUGGAAACCCGAUAGGAGUUGUCAUAGCAUGGACUGUGAUGAGCUGACACUGCACUGCCAUUUGCAAGCGGUGCCCAACGAAACAAAAAGCUCUUCCCUUGUCCCCUGUCAUCACCUCUGUCACAUCAAACUGCUGAGACCAACCCUUGUCUCUCUCUCUGAAAUAUAUUAACCUUGUCUCUCUCUUGUGUCACUGCUCUAAUUGAGACUUAAUGUAUUUACCUCUGUUUUUGCCACCCUCCCGCUCCCUGUUACUCAUUCUGUGUUGUGUCAGCAUCCCUAAGCACGUGCCCCCUCCUACAUGUCACACAGGCAGAGUGCCGCUGGUCAGACCUGACAUUUGUUCAGGGCGUUCUGCAUCAUCAACAUAGUGCAUCCAUCCUGCCCUCCAUAGAGCAGCUUUCUCACUGGCAGAACUCGCUGCAGAAGUCUCGUUUUUAAAGAGAUGGCUUAAGCGCACAUGUUAAUUGCAAGAUUUAAUUAUGCAGCAGAGAAGUUGUGAAUUUUUCCUCCUAAUUAACAAGGGAAAACUUGGCAUGAGAGAAAGGGUAUAAUGGGGAAACGCCUUUUGCAUUUCAUCCUUAACAGUUCUGGCACGUGGUUAUGGCAGUGGUGCAUGCCCUGCCUCAGUGAAUUCUCUGGAUGGGGCUGGAUUAGGUGCUGCUGGAGGCCAGAAUUCUACAUCAGACACUUGCAAGAAAAGCUGAGGUGAAGGAGCUGGAGGGAAGCAGGGAAUUGCACCAUAAGAAAUGUUUACAAUUCCAGAGAGCUUCUUCUCACUGACAGAUCGACCUGCAGCAAGCAGGGUGAGCCCAGACCCAUUUUAUUCUGAGAUUUCAUUCCAAAUUGGUAUCUAAAGACUUGGGUUAGAUUCGCAGCCAGUCUCCAGGGGCUACAUCCCAGCAUUGGUCAGGAAUUAGAAACUCAGAUAAAAAGAAGCUGCUUCCUCUUGACGGCAGUCUGUUUUUGUUUCCCCUGGUCUGUCAGUCUGCCUGGUUGCCUCCUAAUCUGCCUUCCCAAGGUGGGAGGCCUUUUAUUUUGGCUUUUGCUUUUAGUUUUAUUGUGCAUUAUUCUUGUUCCAGGAGCCCGCAAACAUUUUGAGCCUUUCUGUUAACUCUCUUUUCUAUU
rnacentral:lncRNA from 7 species